GAUGGAUGAUUAGUCAAAUCUGAGUGUGAGAAGACCUUCCAGUCUACUUCACACCAGAUCCCUACAGUUCUGAGA